AUUCCGGUUGAUCCUGCCGGAGGCCAUUGCUAUCGGAGUCCGGUUUAGCCAUGCUAGUCGUGCGAGUUCAGACUCGCGGCACCGAGCUCAGUAACACGUGGCCAAACUACCCUACAGAGACGGAUACCCUCGGGAAACUGAGGUUAACCCGUCAUACCGAUCUCAGGCUUGAAUCGCAGAGAUCACAAAACGCCCCGGCGCUGUAGGAUGUGGCUGCGGUUGAUUAGGUAGACGGUGGGGUAACGGCCCACCGUGCCCAUAAUCAGUACAGGUUGUGAGAGCAAGAACCUGGAGACGGAAUCUGAGACAAGAUUCCGGGCCCUACGGGGCGCAGCAGGCGCGAAACCUUUACACUGCACGCACGUGCGAUAAGGGGACUCCGAGUGCGAGGGCAUAUCGUCCUCGCUUUCGUGUACCGUAGGGUGGUACACCAACAAGGGCUGGGCAAGACCGGUGCCAGCCGCCGCGGUAAUACCGGCAGCCCGAGUGAUGGCCGAUCUUAUUGGGCCUAAAGCGUCCGUAACUGGCCGCGC
rnacentral:rRNA from 1 species